rnacentral:rRNA from 1 species
AUUGAACGCUGGCGGCAUGCUUUACACAUGCAAGUCGAACGGUAACAGGCCUUCGGGUGCUGACGAGUGGCGCACGGGUGAGUAAUGCAUCGGAACGUGCCCAGAGGUGGGGGUUAACGCAGCGAAAGCUGUGCUAAUACCGCAUGUGAUCUGCGGAUGAAAGCGGGGGACCAGGCAGCAAUGUUUGGCCUCGCGCCUUUGGAGCGGCCGAUGUCAGAUUAGGUAGUUGGUGGGGUAAAGGCCUACCAAGCCGACGAUCUGUAGCUGGUCUGAGAGGACGACCAGCCAAACUGGGACUGAGACACGGCCCAGACUCCUACGGGAGGCAGCAGUGGGGAAUUUUGGACAAUGGGCGCAAGCCUGAUCCAGCAAUGCCGCGUGCGGGAAGAAGGCCUUCGGGUUGUAAACCGCUUUUGUACGGAACGAAAAGGCUCUGGCUAAUACCUGGGGCUGAUGACGGUACCGGAAGAAUAAGCACCGGCUAACUACGUG